UACAGAGGGUGCGAGCGUUAAUCGGAAUUACUGGGCGUAAAGCGCACGUAGGUGGCGACGUAAGUCGGGUGUGAAAGCCCCGGGCUCAACCUGGGAAGUGCAUUCGAGACUGCAUUGCUGGAGUACGGAAGAGGAGGGCGGAAUUCCCGGUGUAGCGGUGAAAUGCGUAGAUAUCGGGAGGAACAUCAGUGGCGAAGGCGGCCCUCUGGUCCAGUACUGACACUCAAGUGCGAAAGCGUGGGGAGCAAACAGG
rnacentral:rRNA from 1 species